GUGAUAGUCUCAUUUGAGUUUUUAAUUUGGUUUAUAGUUUCCUUCAUUUCUAGAAUUAUUGUUUGAUUUUUUUUAUAAUCUUUAUCUCCUGAUAAAGAUGCUUAACUUCUCCUUUUAUCUGUUUAUGUAAUUCAUUUUCAGUGUGUUCUUUCACUGUUUGAAUUUGCUGUCUCAUAUCCUCUUUAAGGUUCCAUUCCAUCUGUCUAAGGUAUUCCUUGAGUUCUUCAUUUGACCAUUUUUCUGAUGACUCUAGGUCCUCCUGAAUAUUUAGGCUGUCCUGCAUUGUUUGUACUCCUUUUCUUCCUUGCUUUUUCAUGCUGCUCAUGUUACUUCUUGUUCUGUUUGACUGCUGAGUUACUGUUUACUCCUAUAAAUUUAUUUGAUGCUUGGGAGGAAAGGUAUUAGAAGGGAAGGGAAGAAGUCACUAAAGAGAAGGAGAGUAAGCAGGUAGAAUUCAAGGAAUGGGUAA
rnacentral:lncRNA from 1 species